rnacentral:rRNA from 1 species
CAGCAGCCGCGGGAAUACGGAGGGAGCUAGCGUUGUUCGGAAUUACUGGGCGUAAAGCGCACGUAGGCGGCUUUGUAAGUCAGAGGUGAAAGCCUGGAGCUCAACUCCAGAACUGCCUUUGAGACUGCAUCGCUUGAAUCCAGGAGAGGUGAGUGGAAUUCCGAGUGUAGAGGUGAAAUUCGUAGAUAUUCGGAAGAACACCAGUGGCGAAGGCGGCUUACUGGACGCGUAUUGACGCUGAGGUGCGAAAGCGUGGGGAGCAAACAGGAUUAGAUACCCCCGUAGUCCCUGUCUCUUAUAC